UUAAAUUGAAGAGUUUGAUCAUGGCUCAGAUUGAACGCUGGCGGCAGGCCUAACACAUGCAAGUCGAACGGUAACAGGAAGCAGCUUGCUGCUUCGCUGACGAGUGGCGGACGGGUGAGUAAUGUCUGGGAAACUGCCUGAUGGAGGGGGAUAACUACUGGAAACGGUGGCUAAUACCGCAUAACGUCGCAAGACCAAAGAGGGGGACCUUCGGGCCUCUUGCCAUCAGAUGUGCCCAGAUGGGAUUAGCUAGUUGGUGAGGUAACGGCUCACCAAGGCGACGAUCCCUAGCUGGUCUGAGAGGAUGACCAGCCACACUGGAACUGAGACACGGUCCAGACUCCUACGGGAGGCAGCAGUGGGGAAUAUUGCACAAUGGGCGCAAGCCUGAUGCAGCCAUGCCGCGUGUAUGAAGAAGGCCUUCGGGUUGUAAAGUACUUUCAGCGGGGAGGAAGGUGUUGUGGUUAAUAACCACAGCAAUUGACGUUACCCGCAGAAGAAGCACCGGCUAACUCCGUGCCAGCAGCCGCGGUAAUACGGAGGGUGCAAGCGUUAAUCGGAAUUACUGGGCGUAAAGCGCACGCAGGCGGUCUGUCAAGUCGGAUGUGAAAUCCCCGGGCUCAACCUGGGAACUGCAUUCGAAACUGGCAGGCUUGAGUCUUGUAGAGGGGGGUAGAAUUCCAGGUGUAGCGGUGAAAUGCGUAGAGAUCUGGAGGAAUACCGGUGGCGAAGGCGGCCCCCUGGACAAAGACUGACGCUCAGGUGCGAAAGCGUGGGGAGCAAACAGGAUUAGAUACCCUGGUAGUCCACGCCGUAAACGAUGUCUACUUGGAGGUUGUGCCCUUGAGGCGUGGCUUCCGGAGCUAACGCGUUAAGUAGACCGCCUGGGGAGUACGGCCGCAAGGUUAAAACUCAAAUGAAUUGACGGGGGCCCGCACAAGCGGUGGAGCAUGUGGUUUAAUUCGAUGCAACGCGAAGAACCUUACCUGGUCUUGACAUCCACAGAAGAAUCCAGAGAUGGAUUUGUGCCUUCGGGAACUGUGAGACAGGUGCUGCAUGGCUGUCGUCAGCUCGUGUUGUGAAAUGUUGGGUUAAGUCCCGCAACGAGCGCAACCCUUAUCCUUUGUUGCCAGCGGUCCGGCCGGGAACUCAAAGGAGACUGCCAGUGAUAAACUGGAGGAAGGUGGGGAUGACGUCAAGUCAUCAUGGCCCUUACGACCAGGGCUACACACGUGCUACAAUGGCGCAUACAAAGAGAAGCGACCUCGCGAGAGCAAGCGGACCUCAUAAAGUGCGUCGUAGUCCGGAUUGGAGUCUGCAACUCGACUCCAUGAAGUCGGAAUCGCUAGUAAUCGUGGAUCAGAAUGCCACGGUGAAUACGUUCCCGGGCCUUGUACACACCGCCCGUCACACCAUGGGAGUGGGUUGCAAAAGAAGUAGGUAGCUUAACCUUCGGGAGGGCGCUUACCACUUUGUGAUUCAUGACUGGGGUGAAGUCGUAACAAGGUAACCGUAGGGGAACCUGCGGUUGGAUCACCUCCUUACCUUAAAGAA
rnacentral:rRNA from 1 species